UUUUCAUUGAGAGUUUGAUCCUGGCUCAGGAUGAACGCUGGCGGCGUGCUUAACACAUGCAAGUCGAACGGACUACUUCGGUAGUUAGUGGCGGACG
rnacentral:rRNA from 1 species